UAUGAAGAGGUGAAUAUCACGGGACGGGAAAACAGAGAAAGGUGCCCAAGGUGCUGUGAGAAUGGGGACAUCUUUAGAGGUUGCAACCGAAUUGUAAUAACUUCCUGUGGCAUAGCCCGAUUGAGAAGAAGUGCUUCCGGCAGCCUAGGACCCCUCAUCAACAAGCCAGCCUUCUGGGCCUGGCGCGACCCUCGCCUCAGGCCUUUCGGAGUCACACAGUCGUGCAGCCCAGCUCCUAAGACGGGCAGUGAACAGUAACGCUUCCUUGCCGCGGUCCAGGUCCAGACCUCCUCGUUUCCCGGCCGCCGCCGGCAUCAGGUGACUCCAGGACCCUGCGCCUGCUGACCGUGACCGAGGAGACCCCGCGGUGCCUGGGCAUUCUUUGAACUUGCUGCUUAUUCUUCUUGCUCUUUUCGGUGAAAUUAAGGAAUAGGGUCAGGGAUCUUGCAGUGGUCUUUGUCUCCUUCUGUAAUGCCUGGCAUUUGAAGAGACAUAUGGGCAAUGAACCUGGAAAGGGAGAACGUCUUCGGUCCUACAGUGUUGAUGACACUGACAUUUUCUGAGUGGUCUUGAACAGCCUACUUUUUAUGUAAAUAACUGGCUAGACUUCAUAUUUUUCACUAGAGAAGCCUUUAACCUAGAGAUUUAAAAACACUGCUUUUAGCUUACUACUAUUUUUAACUUGAAAGUUCUUCCUUUCUUAUUCCAAAAUGUUGAGAUACUGGGGAGAGAUACCAAUCUCAUCAAGCCAGACCAACAGAAGUUCCUUUGAUUUGCUCCCACGGGAGUUCCGUCUCGUAGAAGUCCAUGACCCACCCCUGCACCAACCCUCAGCCAACAAGCCCAAGCCCCCCACAAUGUUGGACAUCCCCUCAGAGCCAUGCAGCCUCACCAUCCAUACUAUCCAGCUGAUCCAGCACAACCGACGUCUGCGCAAUCUCAUUGCCACCGCUCAGGCCCAGAGUCAGCAACAGACAGAAGGUGUAAAGACUGAAGACAGUGAACCUCUUCCCUCUUGCCCGGGGUCACCUCCUCUUCCUGAUGACCUCCUGCCUUUAGACUGUAAGAAUCCCAAUGCACCAUUCCAGAUCCGGCACAGUGACCCAGAGAGUGACUUUUAUCGGUAAGACAAGGCUUUGCUAUAUCUUACUUUUCUCAAAAAACCUUCACAACAGCACUGUUAAGAAUGUAAUAAUAUUUCCAUGAGGAAACUGAGGAUAAGGGUAAUUGACAUGGCCAGAGUUGCUCAGGUAAUUAGUAGGAAGUCUAAGACUUGAAUUCUGAUCUUCCAAAUCCAGAGUGUGUAUCUUUUAUUUUUGAUGUAGCAAAUAUUUACUGAGUGCCUAUUACGUGCCAAACACUUUCCUAGGAGCAAGGUACUACACCAGUAUGUAAAAUAAGCCAUGGCCUCAGUCCUCAGAGCGUAGUCUUUCUGUUUAAUUUGAAAUGUAUUUUAUGGGUUUAGCUCAGUGUCCUCAAAUUGAGAUUCAUGGACUUAUUCUCAUAUUAUUAGGAAUCCAUAAGUUCUAUAUAAGAAUUU